GGUCGACAUUGGUGAAACGUUUUACUAAGUUACUUUUGGUCAAAUGCAAGGUACCUCAGGGUGGCUGAAAGUAUAUCAUUCUUUUACUUCAUCCUUUCCUUUGUACGUCAGACGAUCAAGAAUAGCAGUUGAACUGCUCCUGCACAUGGUCAGAAAAAGCUAAGAAGCAGUAGAGGAGAAGAAAAAAGAACUCCAGCAAGAAAGAGUUCUGGAGAAAGGGCCACAGGAAAAUUGCAAUGAUUUAUCUAGCAAAUACAGCUAUUCAAGCAAGUCAAAGUUUUGUGAAAUCUCAGAGACCAAUGGCCAUCAAGUGUUUGAUAAAAUGUCUAUGUGAAACUUGGGAUAGCAGAGAAAACACGGAAAGAAUGAUCGCACAGAGGACAUUGCUGACACCAUUAAAAGUGAUUCUGGCAAGUGAAUUUAUUCUGGGAAUGGUGGAUCUGAGAUGAACUUGGCUAAUGCAGUGGCUUAUUCUCCCCUAGGAGUGCUAAUAGGCUUGUCAAGAGUAUUGGAACUGGUGGAGUUGCGAGCAGAAGUCAACAAACUGUUGUGGGUUCUGGGGUUGGAAAAGAAAUUGUCCCCCAGUCAUCUAAGCCAGCUCAAGAGAAGAAGCCCUAGGUUUCUACUGCUAAUGAUCAUGCUACAACCCCUGCUACUAAAAACUGUUGGCUUAAGACCAAAAAAUCUAUCCAUAUUGAGAUAGAAUGUACCAUUAGAUGCCUAUCAUGCAAGGAAGAAACUGGAGUUGAAGCGAGGUGUUGCUUGGGAUUUGUGGUAAAUGAUGUAACAAGAUCUUUACAUGCUGCAAUUUUCAGUCCAUAUGUUGAGAAAUUGUUAGCAUAUACCGCUCUUCGCCUAGCCAUGAUGACCAAGGGUUACAAUGGUUUGUUCCAUCUAUGCUUUUAAUCUGGAAAAUCCAAGGACAAAAGGACAACGAAGAACCACACUAUCAAAGCAUACACUACUGAGGUUGGCGGUCAAAUUUCGAUAGCAAUCCCAAAUGAAGAUCACAAAAGAUGUUCCCAAAUUUCAUAUCAUUGCUCAGGAUCCUUUAUGAUGGUGUUCUCCUAAAGAACUUGAUCGAAUAAAUGCAAGUUAGCAAUCUAAUUAGUGGGCAGUCAGUAUUUCAAUUUAUAGUUGUCUAGAAUAUAGCACUACUAGAAAGUUUUUGACUGCCUGCUGAAUUACUUGGCAGUGGGAAAGUAGAAAAGAUGUUACUAUUGAACCAAUGCUCAGUUUUUAAACUAUGUUGUUAUUUUACUCAAAUGAUGAAUUUGUAUGCUUAAUUCUUCU